rnacentral:rRNA from 1 species
UAGGGAAUCUUCCACAAUGGACGCAAGUCUGAUGGAGCAACGCCGCGUGAGUGAAGAAGGUUUUCGGACCGUAAAGCUCUGUUGUUGGUGAAGAAGGAUAGAGGUAGUAACUGGCCUUUAUUUGANGGUAAUCAACCAGAAAGUCACGGCUAACUACGUGCCAGCAGCCGCGGUAAUACGUAGGUGGCAAGCGUUGUCCGGAUUUAUUGGGCGUAAAGCGAGCGCAGGCGGAAGAAUAAGUCUGAUGUGAAAGCCCUCGG